GCCAGGCAGCUUAUCCUACAGUAUGGCUUAACCCUCAGUGACCUGGAUCAACACCCGGAGAUCGACCUUGCCAUCGAUGGUGCUGAUGAAGUGGAUGCUGAGCUCAAUCUCAUCAAGGGUGAGGCUGCCUGACCCAGGAGAAGAUUGUGGCUGGUUAUGCCAGUCGCUUCAUUGUGAUCGCUGAUUUCAGGAAAGAUUCAAAGAACCUUGGGGAUCGGUGGCACAAGGGGAUUCCUAUUGAAGUCAUCCCAAUGGCCUAUGUCCCAGUGAGUCGAGCUGUGACCC
rnacentral:lncRNA from 1 species